rnacentral:tRNA from 1 species
GCGGGUGUAGCUCAGUGGUAGAGCGCAACCUUGCCAAGGUUGAUGCCGUGGGUUCGAAUCCCAUCACCCGCU